AGCCUCUGCACUCUUUAUUUGGAAAAAUUUUCACCUUUGUAGGAAAAAAAAAAAUCCUCCGAAUACCACUAAGCAAUCGCAUAUUCAAACAUCUGGCAUGCACGCACAUAUGCAACACAGCUUUAGAAUUUCAGUGGAGUGUGUGGCUUUUAUUUGGGGGUGAUGCUGAGAUCUUUAUUCUGCGAGCACCCAUUAUCCUCUACCUGUCCUAAUUAUGCUAUUUGUAAAAAGAACCAGCAAGAAUGAUGGGUUCUACUGGCCAGCAAGUAGGAGGAAAUGAAUCAUAGCAAAGACAGCUACAAAAACAAAAACAAAACAAACCUGUGAGAAAGCACAGAAGAAGAAUUGAUGUCACUGGAAAAUGCCCUGGGUCCCUGCUGACUGCAACUAACUCCCGGUGACUGAUUUCCAAUGGAUACAGAUGAGGCCUGAGAGGCGGUGCACACAGAUACACCCACAGUCUCAGCAUUCCCAUAAAAGCAGCCUCUGCAUAUUCACUCAGUCUGAAAUAUGAAUACACACAACAGCAAUAAAUUUCCAUUGCCUCCGACUCUGAACACUGCCAAGACUUCCACGUAUGAACGCCAUGAAACAUGUCAGGACUUUCUCGGAGUCUAUGAAGACAGAGAUGGCAUCUGCUCCCAGUGGGAAGCCCUUCUAACCAGUAAUACUAUAAAAUUUCAUGAUUCUGAAUUCUGACUGACAUUCAAAAGGGCAGGGAGGAGGUGUUUACUAUAUUUUAUAGAACAACAUCAAUUGCUUGUCUUAGCACAUAAAUACUGUUUUAUGGUAUACAAUGCCACCUCAA